rnacentral:rRNA from 1 species
AUGAACGCUGGCGGCGUGCUUAACACAUGCAAGUCGAACGGGAAAUAUUUCAUUGAGACUUCGGUGGAUUUGAUUUAUUUCUAGUGGCGGACGGGUGAGUAACGCGUGGGUAACCUGCCUUAUACAGGGGGAUAACAGUCAGAAAUGGCUGCUAAUACCGCAUAAGCGCACAGAGCUGCAUGGCUCAGUGUGAAAAACUCCGGUGGUAUAAGAUGGACCCGCGUUGGAUUAGCUAGUUGGUGGGGUAACGGCCCACCAAGGCGACGAUCCAUAGCCGGCCUGAGAGGGUGAACGGCCACAUUGGGACUGAGACACGGCCCAGACUCCUACGGGAGGCAGCAGUGGGGAAUAUUGCACAAUGGGGGAAACCCUGAUGCAGCGACGCCGCGUGAAGGAAGAAGUAUCUCGGUAUGUAAACUUCUAUCAGCAGGGAAGAUAGUGACGGUACCUGACUAAGAAGCCCCGGCUAACUACGUG